GACGAACGCUGGCGGCGUGCUUAACACAUGCAAGUCGAGCGGUAAGGCCCUUUCGGGGGUACACGAGCGGCGAACGGGUGAGUAACACGUGGGUGACCUGCCCUCAGCUCUGGGAUAAGCCUGGGAAACUGGGUCUAAUACUGGAUAUGACUCCACGGUGCAUGUCGUGGGGUGGAAAGCCUUGUGCGGCUGAGGAUGGGCCCGCGGCCUAUCAGCUUGUUGGUGGGGUGANGGCCUACCAAGGCGACGACGGGUAGCCGGCCUGAGAGGGCGACCGGCACACUGGGACUGAGACACGGCCCAGACUCCUACGGGAGGCAGCAGUGGGGAAUCUUGCGCAAUGGGCGAAAGCCUGACGCAGCGACGCCGCGUGAGGGAUGACGGCCU
rnacentral:rRNA from 1 species